GGCGGCGUGCCUAAUACAUGCAAGUUGAACGCUUCUUUCUUAUCGAACUUCGGUUCACCAAGAAAGAGGAGUAGCGAACGGGUGAGUAACACGUGGGUAACCUGCCCAUCAGCGGGGGAUAACACUUGGAAACAGGUGCUAAUACCGCAUAAUGCUUUUUCUCACAUGAGAGAAAGCUGAAAGGCGCUUUUGCGUCACUGAUGGAUGGACCCGCGGUGCAUUAGCUAGUUGGUAGGGUAACGGCCUACCAAGGCAACGAUGCAUAGCCGACCUGAGAGGGUGAUCGGCCACACUGGGACUGAGACACGGCCCAGACUCCUACGGGAGGCAGCAGUAGGGAAUCUUCGGCAAUGGACGAAAGUCUGACCGAGCAACGCCGCGUGAGUGAAGAAGGUUUUCGGAUUCGUAAAAACUCUGU
rnacentral:rRNA from 1 species